GACGAACGCUGGCGGCGUGCCUAAUACAUGCAAGUAGAACGCUGAAGGAGGAGCUUGCUCUUCUGGAUGAGUUGCGAACGGGUGAGUAACGCGUAGGUAACCUGCCUGGUAGCGGGGGAUAACUAUUGGAAACGAUAGCUAAUGCCGCAUAAGAGUAGAUGUUGCAUGACAUUUACUUAAAAGGUGCAAUUGCAUCACUACCAGAUGGACCUGCGUUGUAUUAGCUAGUUGGUGGGGUAACGGCUUACCAAGGCGACGAUGCAUAGCCGACCUGAGAGGGUGAUCGGCCACACUGGGACUGAGACACGGCCCAGACUCCUACGGGAGGCAGCAGUAGGGAAUCUUCGGCAAUGGACGGAAGUCUGACCGAGCAACGCCGCGUGAGUGAAGAAGGUUUUCGGAUCGUAAAGCUCUGUUGUAAGAGAAGAACGAGUGUGAGAGUGGAAAGUUCACACUGUGACGGUAUCUUACCAGAAAGGGACGGCUAACUACGUG
rnacentral:rRNA from 1 species